CACCUGUGUGGCUAUUUCUGCAGUGGAUCUAUAAAGACCUGCCCACUAUAAACGGGAUAUGGUUUCAGUGGAUCUGUAAACCUUGAGCCCUCUAAACAGGAUUUGGUUUCAGUGGAUCUAUAAAGACCUGUCCACUCUAAACAGGGUUUGGUUUCAGUGGAUCUAUAAACCCUGAGCCCUCUAAACAAGGUUUGUUUUUCUGACAAGGUCAACGGCGAGAGAAGAGAUAUUUAUCAUUUAGCAGAGAACGAGGAGGUUGGUUGGAGCUGCUGUUAGACAGUUUUAUAGGACAAUGUGUGUUAACAGGUUUGGUGCUGCAUAGUGCUGCCUGUUUGGGCUACACCGCCUGGGAUAACAGGUUUGGUGCUGCAUAGUGCUGCCUGUUUGGGCUACACCGCCUGGGAUAACAGGUUUGGUGCUGCAUAGUGCUGCCUGUUUGGGCUACACCGCCUGGGAUAACAGGUUUGGUGCUGCAUAGUGCUGCCUGUUUGGGCUACACCGCCUGGGAUAACAGGUUUGGUGCUGCAUAGUGCUGCCUGUUUGGGCUACACCGCCUGGGAUAACAGGUUUGGUGCUGCAUAGUGCUGCCUGUUUGGGCUACACCGCCUGGGAUAACAGGUUUGGUGCUGCAUAGUACUGCCUGUUUGGGCUACGCCGCCUGGGAUAACAGGUUUGGUGCUGCAUAGUGCUGCCUGUUUGGGCUACACCGCCUGGGAUAACAGGUUUGGUGCUGCAUAGUGCUGCCUGUUUGUGCUACACCGCCUGGGAUAACAGGUUUGGUGCUGCAUAGUGCUGCCUGUUUGGGCUACACCGCCUGGGAUAACAGGUUUGGUGCUGCAUAGUGCUGCCUGUUUGGGCUACACCGCCUGGGAUAACAGGUUUGGUGCUGCAUAGUGCUACCUGUUUGGGCUACACCACCUGGGAUAACAGGUUUGGUUCUGCAUAGUGCUGCCUGUUUGAGCUACACCACCUGGGAUAACAGGUUUGGUGCUGCAUAGUGGUGCCUGUUUGGGCUACACCGCCUGGGAUAACAGGUUUGGUGCUGCAUAGUGCUGCCUGUUUGGGCUACACCGCCUGGGAUAACAGGUUUGGUGCUGCAUAGUGCUGCCUGUUUGUGCUACACCGCCUGGGAUAACAGGUUUGGUGCUGCAUAGUGCUGCCUGUUUGGGCUACACCGCCUGGGAUAACAGGUUUGGUGCUGCAUAGUGCUGCCUGUUUGGGCUACACCGCCUGGGAUAACAGGUUUGGUGCUGCAUAGUGCUACCUGUUUGGGCUACACCACCUGGGAUAACAGGUUUGGUUCUGCAUAGUGCUGCCUGUUUGAGCUACACCACCUGGGAUAACAGGUUUGGUGCUGCAUAGUGGUGCCUGUUUGGGCUACACCGCCUGGGAUAACAGGUUUGGUGCUGCAUAGUGCUGCCUGUUUGGGCUACACCGCCUGGGAUAACAGGUUUGGUGCUGCAUAGUGCUGCCUGUUUGGGCUACACCGCCUGGGAUAACAGGUUUGGUGCUGCAUAGUGCUGCCUGUUUGGGCUACACCGCCUGGGAUAACAGGUUUGGUGCUGCAUAGUGCUGCCUGUUUGGGCUACACCGCCUGGGAUAACAGGUUUGGUGCUGCAUAGUACUGCCUGUUUGGGCUAAGCCGCCUGGGAUAACAGGUUUGGUGCUGCAUAGUACUGCCUGUUUGGGCUACACCGCCUGGGAUAACAGGUUUGGUGCUGCAUAGUGCUGCCUGUUUGGGCUACACCGCCUGGGAUAACAGGUUUGGUGCUGCACAGUGCUGCCUGUUUGGGCUACGCCGCCUGGGAUAACAGGUUUGGUGCUGCAUAGUGCUGCCUGUUUGGGCUACACCGCCUGGGAUAACAGGUUUGGUGCUGCAUAGUGCUGCCUGUUUGUGCUACACCGCCUGGGAUAACAGGUUUGGUGCUGCAUAGUGCUGCCUGUUUGGGCUACACCGCCUGGGAUAACAGGUUUGGUGCUGCAUAGUGCUGCCUGUUUGGGCUACACCGCCUGGGAUAACAGGUUUGGUGCUGCAUAGUGCUACCUGUUUGGGCUACACCACCUGGGAUAACAGGUUUGGUUCUGCAUAGUGCUGCCUGUUUGAGCUACACCACCUGGGAUAACAGGUUUGGUGCUGCAUAGUGGUGCCUGUUUGGGCUACACCGCCUGGGAUAACAGGUUUGGUGCUGCAUAGUGCUGCCUGUUUGGGCUACACCACCUGGGAUAACAGGUUUGGUUCUGCAUAGUGCUGCCUGUUUGAGCUACACCACCUGGGAUAACAGGUUUGGUGCUGCAUAGUGGUGCCUGUUUGGGCUACACCGCCUGGGAUAACAGGUUUGGUGCUGCAUAGUGCUGCCUGUUUGGGCUACACCGCCUGGGAUAACAGGUUUGGUGCUGCAUAGUGCUGCCUGUUUGUGCUACACCGCCUGGGAUAACAGGUUUGGUGCUGCAUAGUGCUGCCUGUUUGGGCUACACCGCCUGGGAUAACAGGUUUGGUGCUGCAUAGUGCUGCCUGUUUGGGCUACACCGCCUGGGAUAACAGGUUUGGUGCUGCAUAGUGCUACCUGUUUGGGCUACACCACCUGGGAUAACAGGUUUGGUUCUGCAUAGUGCUGCCUGUUUGAGCUACACCACCUGGGAUAACAGGUUUGGUGCUGCAUAGUGGUGCCUGUUUGGGCUACACCGCCUGGGAUAACAGGUUUGGUGCUGCAUAGUGCUGCCUGUUUGGGCUACACCGCCUGGGAUAACAGGUUUGGUGCUGCAUAGUGCUGCCUGUUUGGGCUACACCGCCUGGGAUAACAGGUUUGGUGCUGCAUAGUGCUGCCUGUUUGGGCUACACCGCCUGGGAUAACAGGUUUGGUGCUGCACAGUGCUGCCUGUUUGGGCUACACCGCCUGGGAUAACAGGUUUGGUGCUGCAUAGUACUGCCUGUUUGGGCUAAGCCGCCUGGGAUAACAGGUUUGGUGCUGCAUAGUACUGCCUGUUUGGGCUACACCGCCUGGGAUAACAGGUUUGGUGCUGCAUAGUGCUGCCUGUUUGGGCUACACCGCCUGGG